rnacentral:rRNA from 1 species
AACGAACGCUGGCGGCGCGCUUAACACAUGCAAGUCGAACGGGAAUCACAUUCGUGUGGUUCUAGUGGCAAACGGGUGAGUAACACGUGAGAAUCUGCCCUAUAGUGGGGGAUAGCUGUUGGAAACGACAGGUUAUACCGCAUAAUCUUUUCAUAAAGGGAUUUUGAAAAGCAAAGAUAUUUAUAUCGCUAUUGGAGGAGCUCGCGUCGGAUUAGGUAGUUGGUGAGGUAAUGGCUCACCAAGCCUUUGAUCCGUAGCUGGUCUUAGAGGAUGAUCAGCCACACUGGGAUUGAGAUACGGCCCAG